CGUCUGGAGGCACAAGAGCAGAUUGAGCCUUCGGCUGGAAGUACUUCCUGACAGGUGGCCUAGUAUGUGCCUAUCAUUGUGUCAGAUCUGUGGAGGAUAAAAAAGAAGUCUAAGGCAAUCCACAUUUUGAAAAUAUAUGUAAAUAUGCACAGAAGACAAAACGAAUGGGAUGUAUUUGAUAAAAGAAAAACUUAAGGCCACGCAUGGUGGUGACUCACACCUGUAAUCCCAGCACUUUGGGAGGGCGAGACUGGCGGAUCACCUGAGGUCAGGAAUUCGAGACCAGCCUGGCUAACAUGGUGAAACCUACUAAAAAUACAAAAUUAGCUAGGCAUGGUGGCACAUGCCUGUAUCCCAGCCACUCAGGAGGGUGAGGCAGGAGAAUCGCUUGAACCCUGGAGGUGGAGGGUGCAGUGAGCAGAAAUAGCGCCACUGCACUCCAGCCUGGGUGACAAGAGUGAAACUCCAUCUCCAAAAAAAAAAAAAAAGUAAAACUUCAGAUGAACUAAAUUUAAAGAAGUUGAAUAGAGCAAUGAGUGAGUUGUGAAUCGGGCAGCCUCCUGAGCCAGAAUAGGCUCUGAGACUCCAGUGCAGCCACGUGGUGGAAGAAGAUUUAUGGACAGAAAAAGGAAAAUGACAUACAAAAAACAGAAGUCAGGUAAAGAAACAGCUGGAUUGGUUACAGAUCAAUGUUUGCCUUAUUUGAAUACAGUUCAAACAGUUUGCUACAUUUGAUUGACCAAAACUUGGUGACUGGCACAAGUGUAGGCUACAGUCUGUUUAAACCUACACUUGUUAUAGUUCAGGAUGUACAAAAAACUUUUAGGAUGAACUUAAAAUAUGUGGGAAGGCAGCUUUAAGCUAAACUUGAUUUAAAAAUUCCCCACUUUUGUCAUCUUCUCAAUAUUGAGAGAGUAACCAAAACUCUAGUCAUUGAUGUCCAUAUCACCAUCAUAAGUACUUAUUUGGUCUUGAAACCCAUUGGCAAACAAUAGAACAGUGGGUUUUGCAAGUUGGGAACAAGGACUUUAAGUUAUUUUUAUUAUUAUUAUUUUAAGGGUUACAGUAGAGGGUGCCUCCUUAUGCUGGAAUGUCUUGUUUACAAGAGAAAAAAGAAAAUCUGGUCUAUGUUUCCUUAAAUUCUUAGUUUGAUUAUGUCACAUUUAAUACAAGUGACUCUAUUUCGAUUUGAUCUGGUCUGUUGGGGCCUAGUGCAUGAGUUCAGUCCCAAACAAUGGCCUCCCAUAAUUUUGUUUAAAAAAAAAAACAAAAAAAAACACUUUUUGGUCAGGUUCUCACUUAGGUGAGAGUCUGACCAAAAUUUAGAGCCUUAACGUCAUUCUCAGUUAUAAUCAGUUUAAGUUUCUGGUCUCAGUAGGUCAUUCAUAGGUUAUGAUGCCCUGAUGGUUACACAUUCCGUUCAGCUCUUGCCAUUCUCCAGUUUAAGAGAGACUAUUUGAUAUUCUAGACAUGGCUGCAUGCAAACAUUUAAAACAUUUGAGAGAAUAAUGUGCACCAGGCAGACUACUUUUAUGACUAUCAGGAGGAUAAUACCAAAAGUUUGAAGUAUGCUCUUACCCAGAUACCCAAUAAACCAAACUAUCUAAAAUUAAAUAGAUCAAAGAAUAAGCUAGAUAAAGAGUCUACUCGCUUAACAAAGCAGUCUCUUCAUUAAUCCCCCAUAACUGAAUGUCUAUAAUUUACAUUUGGUGUAUUUCUGUAUAGGCCACAAGUGCCAGCAGCUGCACAGUUACUUCUGUUUAGCCAGUAAGUAAUCUAAAGCAAUUGUUAUUUAGCAUAACUUUCACAAGAGAAUUUAAACUCUCUCAUGCAUAGUCUUUACAGUAGAAUCUGCUAUAGAGCCUAUUAUGAGAGAUAUAUUUCUAAUUAUUGCAUCUUUUACACCAAACCAUGGAAAAAGGAAUCUAACAAAUGAUGCCCUUCUAGAAGAGUGAAGGUUUCCUGGCAAUGCUAUCUUUAAUCCAUGAUGUGGGUUAAGAGGAGUGAACCAAUGUUCUGUUUCUGCCUGAUUAGGAGGCAAUGUACAUACCAUUAAAAUAGAUGAAGAUGGCCUUCAUCUUUCAUCUUACAUCUAUCAAGGUAUAAGAUUAUCCAUGUAUAUGGGUUAUAUCAAGGUAUAAGAUUAUCUAUGUUUAAGGCUGGCUGCAAAAUCCUUCAAAAAUAAACGUAUAUGCCAUGAGUGCACACAACAGACCCCCUUUUCACUUCUAUUGUUUAUAGAGGCAUAAUCCAGGGAAAAAAUAUUCAAAGAUAACAGUCUCGUAAUAGUAGAGAAGUCUUGAUCCAUGAUCUUGGAAAAAGCUGUUCACAUCAAGGAUGCCGUCUUCUGCUGGAGAGAAACUUCCCUGGUUAGCUUUACCUUAAGGGAUCAAAUGGGUGUAGUUUCUAGAGUGUGGAGGGAAACAAAAGUCCAAGGUCCCAAAGUUUUGCUGCAGUUUGAAUGGCAAGGGCAGCCUUUCUCUAAUGUUCGGAGAAUAUCCAAUCUUUGGGUUCUAGGUUGUAAAGGGGUUGUCUUCAGUCAGUUAACCAUAAAAAGUUUUCUUUACCUG
rnacentral:lncRNA from 1 species